CCUACGGGAGGCAGCAGUGGGGAAUAUUGGGCAAUGGGCGCAAGCCUGACCCAGCAACGCCGCGUGAAGGAAGAAGGCUUUCGGGUUGUAAACUUCUUUUCUCAGGGACGAAGAAAGUGACGGUACCUGAGGAAUAAGCCACGGCUAACUACGUGCCAGCAGCCGCGGUAAUACGUAGGUGGCAAGCGUUAUCCGGAUUGAUUGGGUGUAAAGGGCGUGUAGGCGGGAGCGCAAGUCAGAUGUGAAAACUCAGGGCUAAACCCUGAGCCUGCAUUUGAAACUGUGUUUCUUGAGUGCUGGAGAGGCAAUCGGAAUUCGGGGUGUAGCGGUGAAAGGCUUAGAUAUACGGAGGAACACCAGUGGCGAAGGCGGAUUGCUAGACAGUAACUGACGCUGAGGCGCGAAAGCGUGGGGAGCAAACAGGAUUAGAUACCCGGGUAGUC
rnacentral:rRNA from 1 species